UACGUAGGGUGCAAGCGUUGUCCGGAAUUAUUGGGCGUAAAGAGCUCGUAGGCGGUUUGUCGCGUCUGCUGUGAAAACCCGAGGCUCAACCUCGGGCCUGCAGUGGGUACGGGCAGACUAGAGUGCGGUAGGGGAGAUUGGAAUUCCUGGUGUAGCGGUGGAAUGCGCAGAUAUCAGGAGGAACACCAAUAGCGAAGGCAGCUCGCUGGGACGUUACUGACACUAAGGCGCGAAAGCGUGGGGAGCGAACAGG
rnacentral:rRNA from 1 species